rnacentral:rRNA from 1 species
CCCUUAGAUGUCCUGGGCCGCACGCGCGUUACACUGAUGCAUUCAACGAGCUUAUAGCCUUGGCCGAGAGGCCUGGGCAAUCUUGUUAACGUGCAUCGUGAUAGGGAUAGAUUAUUGAAAUUAUUAAUCUUGAACGAGGAAUUCCUAGUAAACGCAGAUCAUCAAUCUGCAUUGAUUACGUCCCUGCCCUUUGUACACACCGCCCGUCGCACCUACCGAUUGGAUGGUCCGGUGAAGCCUCGGGAUUGUGGUACUUGCCGCUUUAUUGUGGCGUGACCGCGAGAACUUGUCUAAACCUUAUCAUCUAGAGGAAGGUGAAGUCGUAACA